CCUACGGGAGGCAGCAGUGGGGAAUAUUGCGCAAUGGGGGAAACCCUGAUGCAGCGACGCCGCGUGAGUGAAGAAGUAAUUCGGUAUGUAAAGCUCUGUCAGCAGGGAAGAAAGUGACGGUAGCUAAGUAGGAAGCACCGGCUAACUACGUGCCAGCAGCCGCGGUCAUACGUAGGGGGCGCGCGUUAUCCGGAUUUACUGGGGGGAAAGGGAGCGUAGACGGCAGUGCAAGUCUCGGGUGAAAGGCGGGGGCUCAACCUGCGGACUGCUCUGGAAACUGUACGGCUGGAGUGCAGGAGAGGUAAGUGGAAUUCCAAGUGUAGGGGUGAAAUGCGUAGAUAUUAGGAGGAACACCAGUGGCGAAGGCGGCUGACUGGACCGUAACUGACGUUGAGGAGCGAAAGCGUGGGGAGCAAACAGGAUUAGAUACCCUAGUAGUC
rnacentral:rRNA from 1 species